GAUUGCGCUGAGUAAUUUCUCAGAGGCAGGCAGAGGCAGGGGAUAUCUACUUGACUCCUUCCAAAUGACGGACAUUUGGAGAGGUAAAAAUAAAGGACUGAGGAAGAUAGAUCCCCUGGAUUAUGAUGUCCUGAUUGGAGCUGUCUGCGAGCACCAUCACUGGACACUAACUGUGAUGUAUCCUAAAAAGAGGCAGUCCGUUUAUGUUGAUCCAUUUGGGGCUAGCGAGG